AUUGAACGCUGGCGGCAUGCCUAACACAUGCAAGUCGAACGGGGUGUAGCAAUACAUCUAGUGGCGGACGGGUGAGGAAUACAUAGGAAUUUGCCCUUAAGGUGGGGAUAGUCCGGGGAAACUCGGUUUAAUACCGCAUGAUCUCGUGAGAGCAAAGCAGGGGACCGCAAGGCCUUGCGCUUUUGGAGAAGCCUAUGUCGGAUUAGCUAGUUGGUAGGGUAAUGGCCUACCAAGGCAACGAUCCGUAACUGGUCUGAGAGGAUGAUCAGUCACACCGGAACUGAGACACGGUCCGGACUCCUACGGGAGGCAGCAGUGGGGAAGUAUUGGACAAUGGGGACGCAAGCCUGA
rnacentral:rRNA from 1 species